rnacentral:lncRNA from 1 species
AUGUUUCAUGAUUUUCACCUACCAAAUUCCAAACACAGAAUCCUUUGGAAACUUAAGGCUUCUAACACGAAUAUAUUCCUCAACUUCCAGAAGCAUAUAGAACAAGGUCAGAGUGUCUUUUCCAUCCUAUCCAGAACGGUCGGUCUGUUUGGAAGCCCUGUGCUACGCAAGGCACAGUUCCUCACUAUGCAGCAAAACCAAUAUCACAAAGGGCAUGAUGAAGUCCUAUCCUACUGUGAUGACACAGAACCACCAUUUCCUCAAGAUCCCAAGCCACAUCACUACCACCUGAGAUCUCUGUCCACUCUAGCUUCUGCCAACUGCUUCAGAAGCAGAAACAGAACAACGAACCACAGUGAUAUAAUGGAUAUUCGGCUGCAUAAAAUAAGGCACACUGCAACUUCAGUGUUCCAUAUGGGAGGUCCAGCUCCAAGAACAUCUUCCAGAAACUAUUUAUGGCACUUGUACAAUGAAGGGAGCUCUCCCUUGAGAAUUAAGUCUUUAAAUGUCAAUAUAGAUUACCAUAGAAUGAAACAUUGAAAUUUGACAGCAAUUAUAAGUAUUCUUGAGUAAGCUGAUUGAUUAAUUAUAAAGACUGCAAAAGAA